rnacentral:tRNA from 1 species
GUGGGUGUAGUUCAGUUGGUAGAGUGCUUGCCUAGCAUGUACGAAGCCCUGGGUUCAAUUCCCAGCACCNCA